AAAUUGUAUGCCGUAAAAGCUAACGAUAACGAAGUAUACUUAUCGAUUAACUUUGUAAUGUCACUGUCAUACCACUCAUAUUUGGAUAAGCCAAGGCUAAAGUAGUUAACAAAACAAAUGUAUAUUAUUGAAACUAUUUUUCCUCUUAAUUAUGUACUGUGUGCAAGGAAUAAAAACGGAACGUGAUGCAAAUUCAAGAAUGAUAGAGUAUCUAUCAUUCUUGAUGCAAAUUAAUGUAUUUCAUUGACAAUUUUGGCAAUCAGUCUUCGUCGUUCAAUUUGUUGCAACAGCUGUUUGCAUUGUUUACAUUUGAGCGCUGCCUCCGCGUUGAAAAGCAGAAUUUUUUUCCUUUAUGUGUGAUUUUAUAUUCAAUAGUAAUUAAGUAAUAAAUGAUGUAGUAAGGCAAAUACUUAAUUUUUUAUAUCCCACAUUAAAAGCUUCCUUUCCGAUGUCUCUAUGUUAAAUAUGGCGUCAGCGGAAAGAUAAAAGUGGAAAAAUUUACUUAGCAACAGCUUCAAUAUUACAUGUCGUUCUCUAAGCAAAACCCAGGUAUCGCACGGGCCUAGCAGAAAGGUGAACAACAAAAAUCAUGCUUGAAGUCGUCUGCUUGAAGCGGAGUCACAUCCUAGGAACAUUAACUUUUUUCCGAAGCGAUCAACUUCAGACGAGUAGUGAGCACACAUCUCAGUGUAGCCAGCAACACCAUCGUCGAUUAUAUUCCAGUGAAUGACGACGGGUUGCCGCGUGAAAUUAGAGUGACCCUAACGCUACUUUAGUCUGGAUAUUGUAGCAGGUUAAACACCUACCUACCUAAAACCAAACUCGAUUAUAGCAGGCAAUAACAUUGAUGAAGCGGGCCCUCAGGCCAAUAAAUAUUGUGUCUAAGAAACCGCUUAACUAUAAUUAAAUAAAUAUUGUAAUUUUUUUUAUAACAUAUUGUGAGAGCUGGCUCAAAGCAAAUCUUUUAAAUUGUUAUAAAAAUAAAUGUGAAUAAAGAAAAAAUGGUGUCUAAUA